GCAGCGCCCGGCCCCCGGGCUGGGCGAGGAUUGAAAC
rfam:Limnothrix sp. P13C2 contig_5, whole genome shotgun sequence.